AUUUUAUAGAUUUGCUUUUUUCUUUUCUUUUUUUUUUUUGAGAUGGAGUCUCAUGCUGUCACCCAGGCUGGCUGAUCUCAGUUCACUGCAACCUCCACUUCCUGGGUUCAAGCGAUUCUACUGCCUCAGCCUCCUGAGUAGCUGGGAUUACAGGCAUGCACCACCAUGCCCAGCUAAUUUUUUUGUAUUUUUAGUAGAGACAGGGUUUCGCCAUGUUGGCCAGGCUGGUCUCAAACUCCUGACCUCAAGUGAUCCUCCCGCCUUGGUCUCCCAAAGUGCUGAGAUUACAGGUGUGAGCCACCACGCCCAGCUGGUUUACUUUUCACAAUAAGUUUAAUAUGCCUUAUUUUUGUAAAAUUCACUUAUUUUAUAAAAUUAUUUUUGCUAAAAUUCAGUAGUUGAUUGCAAUUCUUUUGUGUGUUUUUCUAGGUAAAUUUACAAACAUUCAACUGUACAAAUCUUAAAUUACUUAAUCUUACGUAUGCCAAUUGGUAAGUCUGAGGCAUGGAAAUGCAUCUGUGGAAAUCCAUCCCUUCCAACUUCCUUACACCUAUACAAAAGCCUGCAUUUGAUGCCCAGGACUCCAGACCAGUACAUUCUGUGACAACUAAGGCACAGUGGAACAAGAAGUGCCCAACCACACAAAGGAAGCAAGCUUGAGAAAGAGGCCAAAACACAGAGGAAGACAAAAGAGCAAUGAAGCUGAGCAAAGACACCAGAUUACCUAACUCUGAAACACAUCCAACCUCUGGACUUCACUGUUGAGUACAGAUACAUCUCAUCUGAAGCACUGCCAAAUAGCGGAAAGACUUCAUAUUUGUUUUCAUUUUCCAUGCAUACCCCUUUGGUUGAAAUUAUCUGAAGUACUCAGAAAAGAACAAAAGGUUCCGGGGGAGAAAUUCCAAUCUUUGAUAUCCUGACUUUGCUGCUUAUUAAAAAGGUUUAGCAAACAAAACAAGAGUCUCCACCUACAGCUACUAAGCUUAUAA